UACGGGGGGGGCAAGCGUUGUUCGGAAUUACUGGGCGUAAAGGGCUCGUAGGCGGCCAACUAAGUCGGACGUGAAAUCCCUCGGCUUAACCGGGGAACUGCGUCCGAUACUGGAUGGCUUGAGAUUGGGAGAGGGAUGCGGAAUUCCAGGUGUAGCGGUGAAAUGCGUAGAUAUCUGGAGGAACACCGGUGGCGAAGGCGGCAUCCUGGACCAACACUGACGCUGAUGAGCGAAAGCCAGGGGAGCAAACGGG
rnacentral:rRNA from 2 species